rnacentral:rRNA from 1 species
UACGGAGGGGGCUAGCGUUGUUCGGAAUUACUGGGCGUAAGGCGCACGUAGGCGGCUUUGCAAGUUAGAGGUGAAAGCCCAGGGCUCAACCCUGGAAUUGCCUUUAAAACUGCAUCGCUAGAAUUGUGGAGAGGUAAGUGGAAUUCCGAGUGUAGAGGUGAAAUUCGUAGAUAUUCGGAAGAACACCAGUGGCGAAGGCGACUUACUGGACACAUAUUGACGCUGAGGUGCGAAAGCGUGGGGAGCAAACAGG